GGAAGUUAACGGAGGCUUACCUCCUGCCGCUUCUGAUACUGCUAUGGCUUGAGUUUGGUAGUGGGAUGACGGAAUUCCUGGUGUAGCGGUGAAAUGCACAGAUAUCAGGAGGAACACCGGUGGCGAAGUGCGGUCAUCUGGGCCAAUACUGACGCUGAGGAGCGAAAGCGUGGGGAGCGAACAGGAUUAGAUACCCUGGUAGUCCACGCCGUAAACGGUGGGCACUAGGUGUGGGGACCUAUCAACGGUUUCCGUGCCGCAGCUAACGCAUUAAGUGCCCCGCCUGGGGAGUACGGCGCAAGGCUAAAACUCAAAGGAAUUGACGGGGGCCCGCUACAAGCGGCGGAGCAUGUUGCUUAAUUCGACGCAACGCGAAGGAACCUUACCUAGAUUGAACUACGCGGGAAAAACCACAGAGAUGUGGUGUCCUUCGGGGUCCCGCGAUAGGUGGUGCAUGGCUGUCGUCAGCUCGUGUCGUGAGAUGUCGGGUUAAGUCCCGCAACGAGCGCAACCCUUGUUCUAUGUUGCCAGCGCGUAACU
rnacentral:rRNA from 1 species